rnacentral:rRNA from 2 species
GUGCUAACGUCCGUCGUGGAGAGGGAAACAACCCAGACCGCCAGCUAAGGUCCCCAAGUACUAGUUAAGUGGGAAACGAUGUGGGAAGGCAUAGACAGCCAGGAGGUUGGCUUAGAAGCAGCCACCCUUUAAAGAAAGCGUAAUAGCUCACUGGUCGAGUCGGCCUGCGCGGAAGAUGUAACGGGGCUAAAACUAGUCACCGAAGCUGCGGAUGUGCGCGAAGGCGCACGUGGUAGGGGAGCGUUCUGUAGGCUGAUGAAGGUGCAUUGAGAAGUGUGCUGGAGGUAUCAGAAGUGCGAAUGCUGACAUGAGUAACGAUAAUGUGGGUGAAAAGCCCACACGCCGGAAGUCCCAGGUUUCCUGCACGACGUUAAUCGGAGCAGGGUGAGUCGGCCCCUAAGGCGAGGCUGAAGAGCGUAGUCGAUGGGAACCAGGUUAAUAUUCCUGGACUUUUUAUAAGUGGUGAAGUGGGGACGAAGAAGGCUAGGUGAGCCAGGCGUUGGUUGUCCUGGUACUUGCAUGUAGGGGGGAAGACUUGGCAAAUCCGGUUUUCCAUAACUCUGAGGUGCGAAGUGGUUCUGACCUUUUGGUACAGAGAAGUCAUUGAUGCCCGGCUUCCAGGAAAAGCUGCUAGCCAUAACUUAUAGAGAACCGUACCGCAAACCGACACAGGUGGACAGGUAGAGAAUACUAAGGCGCUUGAGAGAACUCGGGUGAAGGAACUAGGCAAAAUGGUACCGUAACUUCGGGAGAAGGUACGCCCUUUUGGGUGAGGGCAUUUACUGUCUGAGCUUAAGAGGGCCGCAGAGACCAGGUGGCUGCGACUGUUUAUUAAAAACACAGCACUCUGCAAAUUCGUAAGAAGACGUAUAGGGUGUGACGCCUGCCCGGUGCCGGAAGGUUAAUUGAUGGGGUUAUCUUCGGAGAAGCUCUUGAUCGAAGCCCCGGUAAACGGCGGCCGUAACUAUAACGGUCCUAAGGUAGCGAAAUUCCUUGUCGGGUAAGUUCCGACCUGCACGAAUGGCGUAACGAUGGCCACACUGUCUCCACCCGAGACUCAGUGAAAUUGAAAUCGCUGUGAAGAUGCAGUGUACCCGCGGCUAGACGGAAAGACCCCGUGAACCUUUACUAUAGUUUUGCACUGGACUUUGAUGAUGACUGUGUAGGAUAGGUGGGAGGCUGUGAAGUGAGGACGCUAGUUCUCAUGGAGCCGCCCUUGAAAUACCACCCUGUUGUUAUUGAGGUUCUAACUUGGUCCAGUAAUCCUGGAUGAGGACAGUGUAUGAUGGGUAGUUUGACUGGGGCGGUCUCCUCCCAAAGAGUAACGGAGGAGCACAAAGGUACCCUCGGUACGGUCGGACAUCGUACCAAGAGUGUAAAGGCAAAAGGGUGCUUGACUGCGAGAGUGACGGCUCGAGCAGGAACGAAAGUUGGUCUUAGUGAUCCGGUGGUUCUGAAUGGAAGGGCCAUCGCUCAACGGAUAAAAGGUACUCCGGGGAUAACAGGCUGAUACCGCCCAAGAGUUCAUAUCGACGGCGGUGUUUGGCACCUCGAUGUCGGCUCAUCACAUCCUGGGGCUGAAGCAGGUCCCAAGGGUAUGGCUGUUCGCCAUUUAAAGUGGUACGCGAGCUGGGUUUAGAACGUCGUGAGACAGUUCGGUCCCUAUCUGCCGUGGGCGUAGGAAAAUUGAGAGGAGCUGCUCCUAGUACGAGAGGACCGGAGUGGACGAACCUCUGGUGCACCGGUUGUCACGCCAGUGGCAUGGCCGGGUAGCUAAGUUCGGACGGGAUAACCGCUGAAAGCAUCUAAGCGGGAAGCCUCCCUCAAGAUGAGUUUUCCCAUGAAGCCCGUUGAAGACUACGACGUUGAUAGGCAAGGUGUGGAAGCGCAGUAAUGCGUGAAGCUAACUUGUACUAAUUGGCUGAUUGUCUUGACCAUAUAAUCUGAG